CCCUGACGGUGGAGCCCACGUUUUAUCUCCAACCUUCAGCCAGAAGUCUAUGCACGACACGGAAACAAACUGGAAUCAAGUCCCACAAAAAUCUCACCAAAGCUGUUGAAUUUGCCACGGAUUUUUGCGCACAUAUAUACCCCAUAUCUACUCUGUAUAUUGACCCUAAAAUCCCUAAUUUUUGCGCCGCCAGGCUGCGCGAAUUUCUCGCCGGAGUUCGACGCCGCCGCCGCCAUUGGAGCUCAGAACCGGAGGGCACUAGGACGCGAAGAAAUCAUCGCCGGAGUUCAUCGCUGCUUGAGCCGCUUCAGCCGUCCGUCAUCGCUGUUCCGGGAAGACCCAAACACCUCCGAGCACGCCACCUUGACAGUCACCCCCAGCCGCGUCUCGUUCAUCAACUCGCCCCCCCAAAAGACUGUCGGAACGCCGUCGCCGUACGAACUCUCGCCGCUGCUAUAGUCUACUUUGUUCCCGACGUGAUUGCCCGGAUUGCAACGAGUGUGAUUGCGACGACUGUCUGAACACCGAUCAAGG